GGAGAACACCACGUUGACCGGGUCUUGGCAGUGUUUCAGAAAGAGGUCGUCAGAGAUAUAAUAGAAAAGCAUUAAAAAUGGGAGAUUUUAGGGGCUUCCCUGGUGGCGCAGUGGUUAAGAAUCUGCCUGCCAAUGCAGGGGACACGGGUUCGAGCCCUGGUCUGGGAAGAUCCCACAUGCCGCGGAGCGGCUGGGCCCGUGAGCCACAACUACUGAGCCUGCGCGUCUGGAGCCCGUGCUCUGCAACAAGAGAGGCCGCGACAGUGAGAGGCCCGCGCACCGCGAUGAAGAGUGGCCCCCGCUCGCCGCAACUAGAGAAAGCCCUCGCACAGAAACGAAGACCCAACACAGCCAAAAAUAAAUAAAUUAAUUAAUUAAUUUAAAAAAAAAUGGGAGGUUUUAGAGAGAAAUGUUCUUUGUAGGGGUAUUGCUAUAGCUUCCAGAAAUUCUAAAAAUCUGUCCUAUUGAAGGAAAACUGUAUUUGUGUGUGUGUAGUAGGAAGUGAGAAUGGUAAACUGAUUCUUUUAUUUAAUUUUUUAACUUGAACAAUAUAGCUAUGUGUUCUGAUUGGAGUUGGGCCAUUCUAGAACAGCUAACUCUCAAUUACCACACUAAUGGAAACAGGCAUGAUGUGGAAAAACAAAAUAUGGUCAUAACCCAAAUCACUUAUUUCCAUUCAUUCAUUCAUUGUAAUUUUAUUCAUAAGCUUUGAGUUAUAGUAAUACUUUAUAUUUGUGCAGUACUUUUGAUUUUAAGAGUUUUUUUACAUACUUUGUUUUAGAUAGGGGAGACUAACCUACAGAAAAAGACAGGACCCUCAAAAUUCAGUUCCCUUAAGAACAGGAAGUUUAUUUCUUUGGUCAAUAGCAGGGUUCUGGGUUAGCAGUAGCUCAGCUCUUAUGAAGGCUUUCAGGGACCCAGGCUGACACUGGCUCUGCCAUCUUCAACGAGAUACUUACAGGACUGCCCUAGGAAUUACUGUCGCAGUCAUUUAGGAAACAUGAAAAACAUUAAUGAGCAUGCACAGGGGCUGGAAUCUCGAGUGGUACACAUCACUUCUGCUCACGUAUCUUUGCCAAGAACAUAAUCUGGAGGCAGGGAACUCUGGUAAAUGUAUUCUGCCUAUGUGUACAGCUCCACCCCUAUUUCGGUAGAAGGAGGAUAGUACAGAUUUUGGUGGGUAGGUUUAGUCACAUGGAUUAUCUCAUUGGGCAAAUAGAUUUUUAAAACCUCUUCUCUUUCUGCUUCUUGAAAGAAUAGGGACUUCCCUGGUGUCACAGUGGUUAAGAAUCUGCGUGUCAAUGCAGGGGACACGGGUUCGAGCCCUGGUCCGGGAGGAUCCCACAUAUCACAGAACAACUGAGCCCGGGUGCCAUUACUACUGAGCCUGCGCUCUAGAGACCACGAGCCACAACUACUGAAGCCCACCUGCUUAGAGCCCAUGCUCCACAACAAGAGAAGCCACCGCAAUGAGAACCCUGCGCACCGCAACAAAGAGUAGCCCCCACUCGCCACAACUAGAGAAAAGCCUGAGCAGCAACGAAGACCCAACACAGCCAAAAAUAAAUUAAAAAAAAAAAGAGAGAAUAAAUGAGCAUGGCAACCAACUUCUGCAAAGCAAAUAAGCAGAGAGAUAAGAAAUAUCAGAGGCCUUGAUGAUUUAGGAAAUGAAUAAGUAGUAUCUGAAUAAUAAAUUAUAAUAAAUAAUAAUAAAUUAACCGGACCUGUCAUGCAAAUAGGACAGAAGUUACUAUAAUUAUACAGGAUUGGUGAUAAUAAAUUGAGUAAGAAAGUACAUUUCAAAAUCUAUUCUGAGUCCAGUUUGCCUUGUCUACCCGAUACAUAGCGUAUAGGAAAUCCUUAGCAUUGGCCACUACAUGAUGAAAACAGAAAUUUCAACUUUUUGCAAAGGAUCUACACCUGGAGAGGCGAAUUUACCACAGAAAAUAAUCAAGAUAAUGAGAGUUACUAAGGUGGCCCCGGAAAGGUGUGUAAAAUAAGAAAAAGAGUUGCCUAAGACAAAAUCCUAAGAGCAACUAUUUACCACAAAGAUGGAGAAAAACAGCCACCAGGAAUGAGCCUGAAGAAAAGAGGAGACAGAAAUGUGGGCUGGCAGGUGAGGUGCUGUGAGUAGAGAAUGUGGUAUCAGACAAGGAAACCAACAGAGAGAUUCAGGUCAAGAGUAUGAAAUGAUACAGAGAGGUCAAGUUAUGUAAGGAGUGAAAAGGAUCCAUUAAAUAUAGCAACAAAGAGGACUCAUUACAGCCUAUUAAAGAUUGGGCAUUUUUAAUAUUUUGGGAGACAAAGACUAAUGAUAACAUAUAUUCUGUUUUUUUUAAAUUAAAGGUAUUUUUGAGCACCUGUUAGGGCACAGGCCCUGUGCUAGUGCUGUGGUGAGGGACUCAAUGGCAGUUCCUUGCCAUGAAGGGGCCAAUAGCCUAAUUACAGGAGUGAUAAGUGUUACAACAGUAGUAAGUGAAAGUCAUAACCGGUGCAGAGUGAUGCUGAAAGUUCGGCCUCUGUGCACUGGUGCCGAAUCAAAUCUCAGAGACAGGGUUUUGGGUGAAGUAGAAAAGAAUAGCUUUAUUGCUUUGCCAGGCAAAGGAGGACACAGCGGCUCCUGCCCCAAACAACUGUGUCCCUGGGACGGGACCUGGGAGGAUUUGAUGGGGAGUUUUAUAGCAACAGUUCAAGGGUGGGGUUGCUGAUAAGAUUAGGAUGUGUGUAGGGCCUGCACUCCUCUAAUCUGGUCUCAGGUAAUAUAUAUAUUUUUAAAAUUAAUUAAUUUAUUUAUUGGCUGCAUUGGGUCUUCAUUGCUGUGCACAGGCUUUCUCCAGUUGUGGACAGCAGGGGCUUCUCUUGUUGCAGAGCACAGGCUCUAGGUGCACAGGCUUCAGUAGUUGUGGCACGUGGGCUCAGUAGUUGUGGCGCACACGCUUAGUUGCUCUGCGCCAUGUGGGAUCUUCCCCCAGGCACGUGGGAUCUUCCCGGAUCAGGACUCGAACCCGUGUCCCCUGCAUUGGCAGGCAGAUUAUUAACCACUGUGCCACCAGGGAAGUCCCAACAGUUAAUUUCUUCAUCUGUAAAUUUAUCUUGCACAAAUGGAUGGUGUAGCGAAUAGAUUAUCCACUCACUUGUAGACUAUUUGUGUCGGGCUCUAUGUGGUUAAGUUACUGUACCUUAGGAAGACUACUGAAAAAAGCAACAGCUAGUUGCUUUGUUCUCCUUGCCUCUAAAUCUGCAGUGAAGAGUGGCUUACAAUACAGACCCUGCUAAAAUUCUCACAGAAAUAUACAUACUACUGAUGGAUUCGGCCUUUGGGGGUGCUAUGGAGAUAGUCAUCUCUUCAUUGUUUCUUGUAUGUAACUUUGUAGCAAGGGAAAUCAAUGACUGGGAAUAGCUGUUUUAAGUAUUAGAAAUUUAUCCCUUCCUAGUGGGACUACUGAAGUCUUGCAAUUUUUAUCUACAAGAGUUCUAUCUUUUAUUCUCAUGUUCUAUUUGUAUGUAGUGAUCAUUUGCAGUGUCUUCUGUCUCUUUGCUGUUUGUCAGUUAAUGCUAUCACAAAAAAGGGAUGGGAUACAUUUAGAGCAAGAUUUCUUCCUUAUCUUGGCACUGACAUGAUUUCACCUGAUUGAAGUCCAGUAGUCUAGGUAGUGAUAGGGCUCUGCUUACAACUACUUUUCAAACCAACAGUCGUCCAACCCUAACUUCCUGACCCCUUCCCCUUUGUUUGCUGUUACUGCCUUUCCAGUAUUAAAGCGUAAAUUUUUAAAGUUGAUAAAAUUAUGAAUACUUUGCUUCCGCCUUAGCAAAGUAGAAAGUUAGAAGCUAGAAGCAAUACACUGAAUGAUCUCAAUUUUUGUGUGAUUAACUAAAUCAAUUGAGAAACCAAAUAUGCUACUGUUUAGAAAAUUUUUUUUUCAUUUUACACAUGAAAAAUUCACUUUAAGCCACACUUUUCAUUUCCUAACAUUGACUUGUGUCUUCACAAUGAACUCUAGUUAUUUAAAACCUUUGGCACUGCCUUUUAUUUCGGUGUAAAAUUUAGUAAGGCCAAUAUAUCUAAAAAACAGAAAUUCCUUCUUCCUUUAUGGACUCCAAUGACAAGAAAAUUAGUACUAGAUCCUUUUUGCUUGAUGUCAAUUAUUUGUGUAUUUAAAAAAUCCAUUUCUGUGCAUAAACACUUUUAAUCAUGGGAUACUGUGACCAUCUUGAUUGAAAAUGAUCACCCUUAUAGUAAGAUGUCUUAAUGGUAUGUUAAUUAUCAACUACCAAUUUUAAUAUGAAAAUUGUGAUUAAUCUAAACCCCCAAAUAAUCAAUUUACCCAUUACCAAAAUUCAUCGGGCAGCUAUUACGUGCCAGACACUAUUCUAAUUGCUAGAAAUAGAGCAGUGAACAACACACAAUAAUUCAUGCCCUUGGGGAGCUUGUGUUCUAGUUGGGAAGUAUAAACAAUUAACAAGAAAAAAUGUAUAGUACACUAUAUGGUAAUAGGUAUUGAGGGGAAAAAUAAAGCAGGGAAUGGGACUAGAAAUCAUGUCUGAGAGAGGUGCAGUCAUUGAUAGAGUGGGCAGGGAAGACCACCACAAUAAGGUAAUAUUUGAGAAAAUACUGGAGGGAGGUGAAGAAAUGAGAUAGGAUGAUAUCUAAGAGAUGAACAUUCUGGGCGGCAGAGAACAGCAAAUGCAAAGUCCCUAAGCAGGAGCAUGUGCCAGGAACAACAGAGGCCAGUGUGGCCAGAGGAGGGUGAGCCAGGGCACAAAUUGAGGUAAGAAGGCUAAUGGAGUAGGGGUAGAGAUUCUCUAGGGCCUUAUAAGCCAGUUUUAGAAUUUUGUUUUUAGUCCAAUUGAGAUGGGGUGAAGCCUUCAGAAGGUUUUGAGCAUAAACAUGGUUUGUUCUUACUGAGGUUUUAAGGGGAUCAUUCUGGCUGUUUGGGCUGAGGUUUGAAUGAAGGGAGGCAGGGCAGAAGCAGGAGACCAGGAAGGAGGCAAGAGAUGAUAAUCCAUAUGGAAUUUCAGUGUAACUUUCAAAGGAUUACUGUCUUACGGAGUCCAAACAUCAGAAAUAACUGUCAGUUUUUCUUAAAUAAGAGAAAUAUUUUAAUUAGUACAAAAUAUAGAUCAGGGAACGGUGCAAAUAUAGAUUAAGCAGUUUGCUUAAAAAGUACACAUUUAUUGUCUAAUAAUAGAUCAGUAUUAAAACUCAGUUGUUUCCUUUAUUGUAUCACACAAUCAUCAUAACCACUUACAAUUAUGGGUAGUUUAAAUAACUGAGAUAAAUACAGUAAUUAUGUAGGCCUCGUUACUUGAAUAUUUAAAAAACAAUUUUCUUCCCCAGAGUUGUAAAAUUCUAUAUUAUCUUUGUUUUAAUUUUACUUCUGUUUCAUUUUUAGAUUCACAUAAGAAUAUUAAAUUAUUACAUUACAACUUGGGACCAUGUUGCUAAAUAUUUAAGAUAUAUAUUAAAAAUCUUUAGCCGAGACCAAAUUAUUUUUUUUUCAACUUUCUAGCCCAGUUAUUAAUAUUUAGACACCUUGUUACUUUUCUUCAUAUAGUUUUUGGUAUCUUUUCUUGUACACUACAUUUUACACAAUAUUUGCUUUUUAUGGUUAGGAAUCAAAAUAUGUACAAAGUCCAAUGUUGUUAUAAGCGUUAAAAAUUGUGAACACUUUGAGAACUUUGGUAAAAACCUCAGUUAUUGGCAGAAUAGCAUUCCCCAGAUAGGAAAUAAGGGAAUUAGGAUUAUGUGUGACGGUGCACAAAUUCACUAAUUAACAGCAGCCUUUGAGAGCAAGAAAUAACUCCUUUCAAUCUUAGAUUCUCUGGACGUCCUAUUUACCUUUCAUCUUCCAGCUGUGAAAUUUUGAAUCCCUGAUGUAAUGCUAACGAUGCAAAUUAGCAAUAGAAUUGCAGGUUUUUAAAGUCCCCAUGCUGUAAAACAAAAGGCAGUAAUUUGGAAAAGACCAUUCACAGCUCUUUCGGUUUUGGUCUGCUUCUAAGUUUGCAAUUGCAUAGUUUAUUAAAGACAUAGGACUGGAAGGAAGGCCCACGGGUUGUUUUAGCACUCAGCAAUUCUCCUAUUUUAAAUGUAAUGGAUAGUUUUUUUCUCGUAUUUACUGUAAACAAUGACAGAUAUGCUAAUGAAUAGCACGUGUUCUUGAACUAUAAAGUGAUUUUUCAGAUAGCCAUUUACGGAGUAUUCUCAGGUGCCACAAUCCCACCAGAUCUUUGAGCAUACAAGCAAAGCACACACGACCUCGCC